rnacentral:rRNA from 1 species
UGGGGAAUAUUGCACAAUGGGCGGAAGCCUGAUGCAGCAACGCCGCGUGCGGGAUGACGGCCUUCGGGUUGUAAACCGCUUUCGCCUGUGACGAAGCGUGAGUGACGGUAAUGGGUAAAGAAGCACCGGCUAACUACGUGCCAGCAGCCGCGGUGAUACGUAGGGUGCGAGCGUUGUCCGGAUUUAUUGGGCGUAAAGGGCUCGUAGGGGGUUGAUCGCGUCGGAAGUGUAAUCUUGGGGCUUAACCCUGAGCGUGCUUUCGAUACGGGUUGACUUGAGGAAGGUAGGGGAGAAUGGAAUUCCUGGUGGAGCGGUGGAAUGCGCAGAUAUCAGGAGGAACACCAGUGGCGAAGGCGGUUCUCUGGGCCUUUCCUGACGCUGAGGAGCGAAAGCGUGGGGAGCGAACA